rnacentral:rRNA from 1 species
UACAGAGGUCCCAAGCGUUGUUCGGAUUCAUUGGGCGUAAAGGGUGCGUAGGUGGCGGGGCAAGUCUGGUGUGAAAUCUCGGAGCUCAACUCCGAAACUGCACUGGAUACUGCCUUGCUCGAGUACUGGAGAGGAGAUUGGAAUUUACGGUGUAGCAGUGAAAUGCGUAGAUAUCGUAAGGAAGACCAGUGGCGAAGGCGGGUCUCUGGGCCGAUACUGACGCUGAGGAGCGAAAGCGUGGGGAGCGAACAGG